ensembl:lncRNA
AUUUGCGAUGAGAAAACACGUGAUUUUUGCUUAAAUGCGGUAUUUGCAAAGAGAAAACGCGUGAUUGUCGAAUACAUGGGGGAUUUGCAAAUAGAAAAAGCGUGAUUUUGGGUUAAAUGGGGGAUUUGCGAAGAGAAAACGCGUGAUUUUCAGGUUAAAUGGCUGAUUCUCGAAGAGAAAACACGUGAUUUUCGCUUAAGUGGGGAUUUACAAGGAGAAAACGCGUGAUUUUUGCUUAAAUGUGGGAUAUCUGAAGAGAAAACACGUGGUUUUCGGGUUAAAUCGGGGACUCUCGAAGAGAAAACACGUGAUUUUCGGGGUAAAUGGGGGAUUUGCGAAGAGAAAACGCGUGAUUUUCGGGUUAAAUGGGGGAUUUGCAAAGAGAAAACGCGUGAUUUUCGCAUACAUGGGGGAUUUGCAAGUAGAAAAAGCGUGAUUUUUGGGUUAAAUGGGGUAUUUGCAAAGAGAAAACGCGUGAUUUUCGCAUACAUGGGGGAUUUGCAAAUAGAAAAAGCGUGAUUUUUGGGUUAAAUGGGGGAUUUGCGAAGAGAAAAUGCGUGAUUUUCGCAUACUUGGGGGAUUUGCAAAGAGAAAACGCGUGAUUUUCAGGUUAAAUGGCUGAUUCUCGAAGAGAAAACGCAUGAUUUUGGCGUUAAAUGGGGGAUUUGCAAAGACAAAACGCGUGAUUUUCGCUUAAAUGGGGGAUUUGCGAAGAGAAAACGCGUGAUUUUCGGGUUAAAUGGGGGAUUCUCGAUGAGAAGACGCGUGAUUUUUGGUUAAAUGGGGGAUUUGUGAAGAGAAAACGCGUGAUUUUCGGGUUAAAUGGGGGAUUCUCGAAGAGAAAACGCGUGAUUUUCGGUUAAAUGGGGGAUUUCGAAGAGAAAACGCGUGAUUUUCGCUUAAAUGGGGGAUU